rnacentral:lncRNA from 1 species
CACAUCUCCUGCUCCCGCUUCUGCAGAGCAGAGCUGUUGAUCCAUUUAGGUGCAGGGAGCAAGAUGCCCGGGGCCCAUGAAAAUCUCCUCAUUUCUUUUAAAAUUGGAAGGCAAAUAUGCACUUCAAGGUCAAAGUAAAGGUUUUAACAUAUUAAUAUAUUCAUCUUUAUACCAAUGUAGUCCCCAAGUAUAAUUUUUAUUUUAUUUUGUUUUCAAGACAGAAUCUUGCUCUGUUGCCCAGGCUGGAGUGGAGUGCAGUGGCACAAUCAGGGCACACUGCAGCCUCAACUCCUGGGCUCAUGUGAUCCUCCUACCUCAGCCUCCUUAGUAGCUGGGACUACUGGGUGGGUUCACUGGGCUGGUUAAAGGUCCAGUUCUCUUGGAGGAGGCUGGAGGUACCAGGCCAGCUCUGCUUCCUUAGAGCAAUACCUGUGGAUGAUAACUUCUCUUCCAAAUUUAUCUUCCACGAAAAUGCCUGGCGGCCUGGCAAGCACUUUCUCAUGGCCCUGGGGACCUCACGGUGGUGCCACUCAUCCUGACCAAGGACCUGCGCCUGCAGCAUGACCCCCGACACAGAUACCUCAUCAGCACCGUUUUCUUUGUCUCUGGCAUCUGCACGCUCCUGCAAGUGUUUUUAGGGGUCAGGUAGGUAAAACAGUUCCCCGUGGGUUCUGACUUUUACCUGCCAGGGUGCCAGCAAGGCUUGCUUGACUUGUAGCUGGAGAGAUGGUUGGGAAGCUGGUGUGGCGUAAGGGAGGGCACACAGGGCUAGGAGACAGAGCGUGGG